GCUUUGCUGAGGGGUCCCAUAAUAGAACGAAACGGCCGUCCAGUGC
rnacentral:hammerhead_ribozyme from 1 species